CUUUGCUUCCCUCCCUCCCUCCCCCCUCGGUUCCUUCCUUCCUUUGGUUGGGAGGAGCCUCUCUGGGACUCAACAGGGGGUCGCGUGGGGCUGGUGCUGGAGUUAGGUUCCUCCCGCCCCUUCCCCUGCGUCUCCCAGAGGCAGCCACACUCUGAGACGACUGAACAUCAUCCUGGCGACCUCUUCCUCCUCCUCUGGGUCUCACUGCUGUCCCUAGGCCCAGAAUCCAGAAUCUCACGGUCCAGUAGUGGAAAGAGGUCGGAGGGAGAAGAGCGACAAAAGCCGGGUAAGCCUAAAAUAUCAGAAAGACGUUCCGCUCAGGUCCUGCUCUUCCAGCCUGCUCUUCCAGCUUGUCUUGGACAAGCUCCGUCCUCCCAAGUCGGUCAGCUACCCGGGAACCAGUGACCUCCGACCUACUGCCCGUGGUGACCAGCCUGCACCAGCUACCUGGCUGUGUAAGGCAGAGUCGCUCUCCCCUGCAGUGAAGGCGGCACCUGGGGUAGGACAGUACAGGUGACGCUGGGGGACAAGGAAGUCCCCAGGUGACAGCCUCUCCUCCCUCCCUCAGGUGGCAACACAAACAACCUUGGUUCCGCCAUGUGAUUUUGCUCCCAGGCACAGCAAACUGUAUGUCCCGGGUUCCUCACGGUGGGGGGGGGGGGCAGCUGAGCUCUGGACAGUGGAAUAUGAGCAGAACCUUCCAUGCCCUGAGGCUUGGCCUCGGGCCUCCCCCCCCCACACCCCCUGCUCACACCCUUCCUUCCAAGGAACAGUCUGCUGGGGGCGGGGCCUGGGCCCUGCACGCUGGGUGACUCCCACCCCCAGCGUUGCCUGGGUCUUGGGUGACUGGGGUCUGGAGCUGGCCUGUGGUGGCAGCUGGUGGUGUUUACCCUAAGACAUCCUCCACACUGCACCGCGGAGCCGGCUCCUGGAACAGGUGCUCUCUUCUCCUCAGCUUUCCUGUACGGGAAACCCCACCAAGGUUGAAAGGCCCAGGCAACCUGCGCCCUGAGCCACAAGCCCCUCCCCACCCCUGCCUCUCACACGGGCCCCUGGGCUCCAUCUCCUGAGGCACCUGCUCUGCGUCUUGUUCGUACCUUCAAUAUGCCCUACUUUGCCUUUUACUGACUUUAGACUUGCAUGUGUCUACUUGCCCCACUGGAAGAUGAAUUCCCAACCAGAAAAGACUAUCAUUAUGAUUAAGCCCUCAAAGCAAGUAUCACCACGUGUAGGUGGCACACCAGGACGGAAAAGGCUUAUAAAUGUCCUAAAAAUACCACGCUAUGAUUCUGCUGUGGACUAAAUAUAAGAAUUCCUCCCCAGUAAUUCUAGCUCACAGGUACAACAAGAAAUUCUCUGAGGACGGAAUUAAUUCCUAUAUAUAAACGAGCUGUUCAGAAAUACAUUCAAUAUGCUUUUUUCCUCAAGGGCUAAUUAAUGUUACAUUUCCUUGGCCUCUCCCCUAAAUGCAUAUUGAGCAAUGUCUCAAGUUGUAAGAGGAGGGAUUAAAAUGUGAGAUCUCUUUGAAAUUCUCCAUGCUAUUGAUUUCUCUCACCCACAUUUAGCUCCCCCUUUGAAAUGAAGGUUUAGUACAAUCUUUGCUCAAUUUUCUGAGUCUACUUUUAAAUAAUCACAGCAAUAAUAAAUACUUCAUGAUAUCCCUGAAUCUCCUUUUUCUGACCCUGUAUGUAAAUCCAUCUCUUUUGCCUCCCCUCACUGUGAUGGAGAAUCAAGUUGUCCAUUUUUAUCAUUCUGGAAACCUCGAGGUAGCCACCACUUAUUGUGUGAUCAGGCAGAGGAGUUUGGGAAGGAUGGUUUCAAAUGUCAACACUAAGAGCUGUGAGACUCAAAAUAAGCACAUUUUCUAGUAUUUUAGACAUAGAACUGUUUGAGGAGGCUGGCAAUCCUUUUAAGCUGAAGACAUGUUCCUGUGGAUGCUGAGACAGUUGUGACGCCUGGCCUCACCAGUGCCGCUGUCCCUGAGCCCUGCUGCCCGGGGCUCCGGGCCGGCAGUCUGCUGUUCUGCCCAGUCAAGAGUCUCCUUUGAGCUGGAAGAAUGCCUCUGUGAUUGGGAGUCCGCACCCCCACGCGGCCUUCACCUCCACGGAAGCUUCCUGCAUAGGUAUGGGCCUCUGCCGGUUGGAACGCUGGUUCUGACAAUCACGGGGUAUUCAGUCCUGUCCUUUUCAAGUCCCGAGCACAACACCCUCAUGAUGAAGAGUCAAUUUCCUACCCUUUCUUGAAUGACUUGACAGAGCAACAUGGGAUAAAUAUCUGAAAGCAGGGGAGCCCUUCUGCGGAUGCCUAUUCUUCCUGCAUUUUUAUUUCCUAGCAACCAUGAUUCGACCUCUGGUCGAUGAGAGGGCAGGCUCAGAACUGGGGUAUAGAUAACGCAGGCUCGUCUCCUUCACCCGACAAACGCCAAUGUGAAACAUGCCUUUAAUAUGCGGUUGCAGUUUAUAGAAAAGGGCCACCACGGAGGUUCUCUGAAGUCUUUCUCAAAGCCAUGGGAGUUCCAUGGUGGCCCCUCAAGGUGCGGAGGGCAGGUGGAGGGAGGGGCUCCCCUCCUCUCCCCCUUCCAGCCCCCAGUGCUGCUUUUUUUCUGUUUCACGUUUGAGUUUCUACGCGAAAGUCACAAUCAAAAAGUGGAUUCUGUAAAACAAAACAGACGGGCACCCUGAACCAAACCCCGAGUGGGGGGUGGGGAGCCGUCCAGGGACGCACUUCUCCUACCCACCCACCACGCAGCUCGCCUUCCUGAACCGAAACCUCCCUGCGGGAACCGAGUGGCCGGGUGUGGCGGACACCUGCCACUCUGUGGCUGCUGGUGUCCCACUCACCUCCCAGCAGCACCUGUCUCCCUUUGGGGACAAUCCCCCUCCCACUGAUAUGACGCUGGUGGUGCUGGGUAUGCAGGGACUUCCCUGUGCAGGAGCCCAGGAGCCACGGGGACAUACGCUUCUUCCCUGAGCCCAGGACGAGGACUGAGCCACCAAUCUGCUCUUCCCUGUCAGCUGUCCCUCCUGGGCCUUUGAAUUGGUGUGGGUGUCACAGCUUGGGAACACGGGGCUUGACAAAUCCUGUCAGAGGGCCAGGACCUGUCGGGACCCCUCCUUCUGCCGGCCUAUUCCAGUCCCCUCCGCAGGCCCUCGGUGCCCAGGUGAGUCCCUGGUGGCCUUUGCUGUGUGUGUCCCUUUCUCCUGCCUGGCUCUUCCUGCUCCCUUCUGGGCCACCACAGAGGGUCUCAGGGCAGCUCCCUGAAGUGCCCUCGCUGACCCUCCUCUUGAAGGCCCUGGGGCUGCCCACCUGCCAUCCCUCACCACGCCACAGCCUGCGCCCACCCAGCCGUUUUCAGCUUUGCUGUCCUUGUGGCCUGACACCCAGUGUGUUCCCGACUCUGUGGUCAGUUCCACAGGCGAGCAUGAGGGCCGGUGGGUCUCCACGGUCAGGAGAGUCAGGAACCUGCAGGAAAGGGGGCUAGGAAAGCCAGAAGCAGCCAGCAUCCAAGAAGCAGUGUGUCAAAGCCCAGCCAGGGAAGGGACCCGGGGAGGGGACCCGGGGAGGGGACCUAGGAGGGGCCCCACAGGCUGAGGCCCGUUCGCAAGGAGGGCUGGCUCUCCGAGGGCUGCCCGUGGGCUCCCUGCAGAACAGUCUCUGCCCAGAGGCCUGCGGCCACCAGACAAGACUUCAGGGGCUUCCAGCCUGUGAGGUCCUCUGAGGAACACGCGGGGACCAGAUCUCCUGGGCGUGGUUCUGGACAACAGCAGCGGCAGCCCUCAGGUGUGGAGGCUCACUGUGCCCAGGCUCCUGGGAAAGUGCUCUGCACACAAGGAGGCCAAGCGCCUGGCCCAAGAUGGCUGGCCCAGUGCGGGUGAAGCCGAGAUCCCGACGCGCACCUGUCAACCCAGGCCAGGCUCUCGCCCUCCCAGCCCUGCGCUCCAAAGGCCCUGGGCUGGACCGUGCUGGACAGCAGGCAGCUCCCCAGCAGCCUCCCUCCUGGCUAAGGGAAGCUCAUGGACAGCGAUGGACACAGAAGGGGGCAGGAGCCGCGGCCGCGCCCUGCCAGCCGUGAGCCUGGGCCUGCCCCUCUUCGCCCACGGCUCCUCGACUCCAUGGCCCUCCUCAGGGAAAGGUCCUCUGCAGUCCCAGCUCCCACCUGCCUGGGUGGCACCCUCGCCCUGCCGGCAGCCGACUGUGCCCGCAGAGCUCUGCCCGCUUAGGCCUCGUUUAUCCCGGGAGAAAAUAGGCCGUCCCCAACCCGCACCUGGCUCAUGCUCCCCCCUCAGACCUAGCCCUAGAAGGAAGGAUGGGGCAGGACUGGCGGAGCCAGGAACAUGUCAGGACACUUCCCCUAGGACAGCGGUCCUGCUCGUAUUCCAAGGAGUCUGUACCUGUUCGUUUCAUAGGUAGCAAGAAAUACAUUAUUAUAGUGCCACAUACUUCUACAGAAAAGUUGAUGACAAAGUUUUAAUCCCAAUGAACUCUGAAGAAAAUAGAUGGAGGUCCUUUGUCACCCUGGACACAAAGAAGGAAACAGAGGUUAAUUUGAUCCACCAUAAAUUAUUCCAUGAUAUGACUGUGAGUGACUGAUGCGUAGCAUAGGUAGAUCAGGAGAUAAACGAGGCCCCCAAACAGCCACAGAGGAACUGCUACAAGUGCUCUCAGAGGGUCAGACGGCACCUCACAAUCCAGAGCCUCCCUAUGGACAACCAAGUCCCCAUCCUCAGCGUUCACUCAGCUUAUUCAAAAACAUUAGUCUGUGCAGCCAGGCUUCCACGUACAGGUGUGCAGUCUGUGCACUGCCCAGUGACGCCUAGGUUGGGUGCAAGUGGGAGCUCAGAUCUAGCGCUUGCUUGGCACCCCACCAUAUGCCCAUGGAGGUGACUCCACCCACACAAAGGCACCAGCCAGACUAGUGUGGCCCUGGUGUGAACCAAACAGAUAUGUCUGGGACCAAAAAUUCUUUUUUUUUUUUUUUUGUACUCAGGAUAUUGAACUCAGGGGCACUCAGCCACUGAGCCACAUUCCCAGCCCUUUUGUGUAUUUUAUUUAGAAACAAGGUCUCACUGAGUUGCUUAGGGCCUCACCGUUGCUGAGGCUGGCUUUGAACUUGCCAUCCUCCUGUCUCAGCCUCCAGAGCUUCAGAGAUUAGGUGUGUGCCACCACGCUCAGCUGGGACCAAGAAACAUUUUCCAGUUAGAAAUGAAGCACUUAUUUCUCAUUUAUUGCCAUUGCUUCCCUCCUCCAUCUUUGCUCUCGUAACUGCCCUUGGCUACCUCAUGGCACCCGAGACCCAUGAGGAAUAGCCCAGGGGUCACACAGUCCUGUCUCAUCCCUGGGGUCUUAGUUCAUCAAUGUGGACCAUCAAUCCCCCUCUGCGGCUCACCAGUUUGCUUCCUUGCACCACAGAAAGGUCCUGGACGUGCCUGCGAUGCUUCCUAUAAAUAGCAGCCACAUUCCAGCUUCCACAGGAGCACGUGCUGCUAAACACAGACGGGAGGCAAGUCGCCCUCUCCCCUUGCUGUGUUCAUGUGCUGAUUCAGGCCGAGUGCUCCUUACCCCGUCCCAGCGUGGCCUUGGUGACUUGGGGUCUUUCCAUCUUGUUCCUAGUGCUUCCUGAUCAAUACCCAGCCAGCACCGCGUGCAGCCAUGGGAUCGGGGACCAGAGACGAGUCACCGUCACCAGUGAUGUCAAAUAGUCCUGUGGACUUUCUGACCCCAAACCCAGGGUUUGGGAGUCUCUUGGCCAUAAGUCAUUUGAGAGUUAAGGUGGGUGUUACUGAUGCAGAAUUUCCCCCAUUGAGGCAGGAAGACAGACAUCUCAGCAUGAGCAGCUAGAGGAGGCCGGGAGCCCCUGGGAUGGGACCAACGGAAGGCUCCAGCAGUCUGCCUCAUCCUCAGCCAGUCCCUUCCACAGGGCAACCUGGGCGUAUGGGGACCCCAGUUGGUCCAAUCUUCUCUUGCUUUCUGCCUGUUCAUUUUUAUUUUUUACUUUGUUUCAACCUCCAACAUGAAUUUGGUCUCAUACAAUUUCAAUGCAACAUGUACUACUGAGCACCAGAAAUAUGAAAUGAAAGUCUU
rnacentral:lncRNA from 1 species